UACAAUAUUUGGUGGGAGAAGGUUUGAUCACUACUUAAUCCAUUCAAUCUUCCAGUUCGAUUUAGAACUUCGGGGUCCGGAUGCUCCCCACUCAACGAUCCUUCUCCCAACUGGAUCAAUCGACCUCCAAAAGAGACGAUGCUCCUUGAUGGCUGCGAAUACGAGCACAGGCUGAUUGUGAUGGAGUUUCCAAAUGAACAGAAGCCAACGGAAGAGGAGAUGGUGAAUUCUUAUGUCAAAACUCUUGCAGCAGUAGUCGGAAGGCAUCGGAUUAAAAACGGAUUUGAGGAAGAGGCGAGGAAGGAAAUAUACUCUGUCAGUACAUCUACCUAUACUGGCUUUGGUGCCUUGAUUCGGGAAGAGCUUUCUUACAAGGCGAUUUUGUGCGUAUUCGUGAAUUGGCAGGCUUCUAUGGGUUUUACCUGAUUCAUAUCUCGAUGUUCCAAACGCAGGUGAUCUGUUUAUUGUUGGAAAGGUCAUCGCCAGAGACAACAAAGUGGUAGAAAUAGACCUCAUCCAUGGUACGAUAGAUGUCGAGAAACUGUGCAUAUUGAACGGAGGCAACCAAUAUUGAGGAUUGUUGAAAUAUCGUAUACUUAAAGUACAAAGCUUGGGACAAGACCAUAGAAACCCGAAUGGUCAAAAUUCAGAUCGAAAUGGAGUCGGAAAUAUCUUGGCAAAUCUUAAUUGAAGCAAUCACGG